UGUCUUUUUCUGAAGAAGAGAAAUAUCAGCUACGAAAAUUUGUCAAUAAAUCUUAUCUGCUGGACAAGAGAGCCUGUCGUCAAGUGUGCUACAGUUUGAUUGAUAUCCUUCUGGCAUAUUGCUAUGAAACCCGUGUCACUGAAGGAGAGAAGAAUGUUGAAUCUGCAUGGAAUAUCAGGAAACUGAGUCCAACACUAUGCUGGUUUGAGACUUGGACUAACGUUCAUGAUAUCAUGGUGUCUUUUGGAAGAAGGGUGUUGUGUUACCCACUCUAUCGCCAUUUCAAGCUGGUGAUGAAGGCCUACAGGGACACUAUAAAGAUAUUGCAACUGGAAUUUUGCUCUGUUGCCCAAGGCUGGAGUACAGUGGCGCGAUCUUGACUCACUGCAACCUCCGCUUCCUGGGUUCAAGAAAUUCUCAUGCCCCAGCCUCCCAAGUAGCUGGGAUUACAGACAUGCACCACCACGCCUGGCUAAUAUUUGUAUGUUUAGGAGAGGCGGGGUUUUGCCGUGUUGACCAGGCUGGUCUGGAACUCCUGGCCUCAAGUGAUCUGCCUGCCUUGGCUUCCCAAAGUGCUGGGAUUACAGGUGUGAGCCACCGCACCUGGCCCACUCAGAAGAGUUAUUCAUUUUAGAAGUGACAAGUCGUAGUUUAAUACUUGAUCAU
rnacentral:sRNA from 1 species